GCCGAAGGCCACCUCGGUAAAGCGCGUCCUUGGUAAGGACGAGAGCCCGGGUUCAAAUUCCGGCCUAGGCU
rnacentral:tRNA from 1 species